rnacentral:lncRNA from 1 species
UCCCACUUGGAUCUCACUCAACAAGGACUGCCUAAUCAAAAGGGCCCGCAAGAAGAAUUGGGUUAUUUCAUGAAGGCUGAGGUCCUUCAGCAGAAAUGUGGCGUAGAUACAGUGCUGUGUAUAGUUCUGUGUAUAAGAGGAGAAUUUUAAAUCCAAAUGUUCUCUGAAACUCCAAAACCAGAAGGAAACAAAAGGAGAAAUCAAGCUACAGAGGAGAGGUGAAACAGGACAAGAAUUCUCUCUCAGACAAGGGAAACGUCCUUUCCAAGCACAUAAGGAAGUCUGUUUUGCAGCAGCAGGUUCACUCCACAUGGAAUCUCUGUACUUUUAUGACAUGUACAGUUGGUUGUAAUGCCAUACUGGGUAUCAUGUAUAACAUCAAAGAGCUAAGUAAGUAUAAAGGUAUGUUGUAUUUCUUCAGUUCAUGUCAACAAAAUCCUUUUCAACCUUGGAUACCUCUUGCUUAAAAUCUUUAGCUCGUCUUGCUCUUUUAUUUGCAGCACUUCUGUCCAAAAAUAAUAUUUGCAACAGGAAAAUGGAAUGACUAGGAUAUCUUCUUUUUUUUUGUUGUUUUUCUUACAGUCUUAAAUUAUUUAACUCUUAGGUGCCCUUGGAAGGCAGACAAAAGUCUACCAAAUAAAGUUAAGUUCUUGGAGCUCA